AUUGAACGCUGGCGGCAGGCCUAACACAUGCAAGUCGAGCGGAUGAAGGGAGCUUGCUCCUGGAUUCAGCGGCGGACGGGUGAGUAAUGCCUAGGAAUCUGCCUGGAUGUGGGGGAUAACGUCCGGAAACGGGCGCUAAUACCGCAUACGUCCUGAGGGAGAAAGUGGGGGAUCUUCGGACCUCACGCUAUCACAUGAGCCUAGGUCGGAUUAGCUAGUUGGUGGUGUAAAGGCCUACCAAGGCGACGAUCCGUAACUGGUCUGAGAGGAUGACCAGUCACACUAGGACUGGGACACGGUCCAUACUCCUACGGGAGGCAGCAUUGGGGAAUAUUGGACAAGGCACGAAAGCCUAAUCCAGCCAUGCCGCGUGUGUGAAGAAGGUCUUCGGAUUGUAAAACACUUUAAGUUGGGAGGAAGGUCAGUAAGUUAAUACCUUGCUGUUUUGACGUUACCAACAGAAUAAGCACCGGCUAACCACGUG
rnacentral:rRNA from 1 species